rnacentral:rRNA from 1 species
AUGGCGAUGAAGAAUAUGAAGCUCGAGGAAUCUGAACUAGACGAUGUGAUCGUCGGGGAUGAGCAAAUCUCCCAAUUUGCUAAAGAGGCCCGCUGGCUUGCGGUUGCUAAGGUCAACACUAAGAAACCCUUUAGUGCGGAAUCUUUCAAGGCCAUGAUGAAGUUCAUCUGGCGUCUGGCUUAUGAUCCUGAGAUCCGCGAGGCCGAUGACAACCUCUUCGUCAUUCAAAUGUUUUGUUUUGGUGAUUGGAAUAGUGUUAUGCACCAAGGUCCUUGGAUCUUCAGAGGUCUCAUGGUGAUCAUCGAGGAAUAA